ensembl:lncRNA
CCCAUAUCUCUCCUCCUCCUUGCCUUUCCUUUCCUGUGAAGCGCAGCUGUGCUGUUGGUAAAUACAACAAAAUGCUCUUGUGGAUAACGCGGGUGGGUAGAAGAUUGUGAGGGCUUGAUGUGGUAGGCUAUAGCACUCGGAGGGCAGAUUUCUUGUAGAUUUUUCUCAAAGCAAAAAAGAGGACUAAUUGGACCAAUUUACAUGACUAGGCUACCUUGAUUCUAGAAACGAGGUGGAAAGUGGAAUUGAUGUGACAGCAGAAGAGACUGGAAAAGAUACCAAAAAACGGAUAAUUUUUACUGUUAUAAAAGUAUUUCUCCAAGAUGUUGUCUAAAGGGUUGAGGUUGAUGCUGAUGAUGAUUCUGCCAUUUAAUACAGCACAAAACAGUAACCUUCCUCCAUCCAUCCUCGACAUCAACGACGACAUCUCACUCCCCCUGACCCAGAUACCAUCUGGCCUACCUGGCCCACCUACCCAGUCUUACCUCAGUCUCCUACUCCUGUGUCUAACCGUGGGGCUCUCUGGGAUCGUCUACCUGUGUGUGCUGCGUUACAUCUGUGUAGGCUGCUGCCAGCCCAUAGUGGUUGGCCCCGAGUUGGAAGCUUUCUCAGGGGUAGUGUAAAUUUAAUUUGACAUUUGGUGCCCCUGCUACUUUGGUGCCCCUGCAUAUUGCCCCUGCAUAUUGCCCCUGCAUAUUGCCCCUGCAUAUUGCCCCUGCAUAUUGCCCCUGCAUAUUGAGGCUCUCUCCAGUUUUAUGUAAAUGGCAUGGACAUUGUGACAAGUGGAGUACCACAGUUUCACAAGGCCUCCCACAAGGUCUGAGCAAGUCCACCUCCCCAGCUAAUUUCCUGCAAUUCUACACAUAUUACCAUGGGUUAGAGAGUAAAUGUGCAGUUUCAUAGCUAAUAUCAUGCUAUUCUAAACAUUUUGUAUUUUUAAAGCACAUUUUCUGCUAUUCUAUACAUUUUGACUUUGCAGUAUUACAGCUAAUUUCCUGUUAUUCUAUAGAUUUUUGUCAUGGCUUAUGACCUGUUCAUAUGCUAUCUGGGUUAGGGGGUGCUGACUAACUAACGAAAUUACAGUUCACGAAAAUGUACGCUUAAUCCAGUAGAAACAAAUGUAUCGAAUCUUUAUACAAAAUUCACAAAUUCUACAGCACAACGGAAGAGUCAUGUCUUAAGUGUAAAACUACUCUAAUAAUGACUCAAUAAUCCCUCAUUUCUGGAAAUGCUAUAAAGUCUGGUAUGACAAUGUUCAUGUACUUUUAAUCUGUCUGUCUGCAUAUUUCAAGACAUGGCAUAUGGGGGUGUAGUGAGAUACCCAAUGGGCUGGACUAUUCUCUUCUCAUCACUCAUCUUGAAAGAAACGUAUACUAAAACCAUGGAAUCCAAUGAAUCCGCCAUAAUUAACACAAUGGAAAAAUCGUCUGAUUUACUAUUGAAAUACCAUGGGCGACCGAGGAAAAACAAAUUGAUACAGCUUGGGGUCUGGGAAGAUGAGAUGUAGUCAUUGUUUGUGUGUGUCUGUAAGUUGUUGUUCGUAUAUAUACGUUUGUAUAUGGAGUGAAAAUAAAGAACAGAACAAAAAUAAAAUAUUUAAAAAACAUUUAGAAAAUAUGGAGCCUGGUUUUGCUUCUGUGAACAAAUAUCAUGGUAUCAAAACGAUGCUCAUUGAAAACAAGGGUUCUAAAAGACUGAGAUACAAACAUACAGUUUUUU